ensembl:lncRNA
GCCCUCUGCAGAUACAGUCUUUUAUUGACUCGAGGAGACUCUGUUUCAUGAAUUGUGGAUCUUCCCUUGGACGCUCCUCUCUGGAGUUCCUGGGCUUUCACACAUGCCAGCCAUUGAAUGUCGUCAUACAGCUGACUCCUCCUCUCCACCUUUGUGCAGGCCUCAUCAGUGACGUAGGCCUUCGCAGUGCCAGUGUUGCUCUACUCCACAGACUCAUGGCCUGGUGUCUUUCACUGGUGCUCUGUGUUUCUCCCCUUCAGUUGGUGAGCUCCUUCAUCUGUAAGGAGCAAACAAUUUUGCUUCCUGUCUCAGGUGACUCCUCUGAGCUUCGCACAAGCUCACCAUAACAAUAACCUCUUUGAGACAUGCAGGUCAGUCUUUUACUCUUCUUCUCACACACUUGCAUUUGGCUUAGAUCAUUUGAAAGCCUGUGCACUGGUCAAGGACACUCUUGGCAGGAUGUCGGGGCCCACCCCACACACUCCACAGUCAGAGCAACUUGAGCCAGCUACACCCUGUGACGGUGUUUACAGGCCGCCUCCUGCAGCAGCGGCUCAGCUGAUGUCAGCUCUCUCAGUACAACACUUUUCCUUCUUUUCUGCUACUGUCUCCCUCUGCCACACUCAACAGACGCUAAACUUUACUUUAAAUUGUUAAGUCACAAUCUCUGACUUAUGAAACCACCAUUUCCAACAAAACUCUUCGAUUUCACUUCACUAUUUUCCAUCCAGUGAUUUUAGCUAUUAUGCUCUGGGUUUAAUAUAUCAGUUAGUUGCAUUUAAACCCUGUCUACCUUCUUUUCUCUUCCCAACUACUUAUUUGUGACGGCAGCAUUUUAAACAGAUCUCUAGCAGGUGUCUCUUAUUGUUAAUUUGCUCAUAUUUGUCCUCAUGACCACUUCACCCCACAUGUCAGCCUGUUUAUUCUGAACUCCUCUGAGCGUCACACAAUUUAUUUCCAACAAUCAUUCAUUUCACAUCAUAUUACUCAGGUGCCUCUUGCACUCUCUGUAUGCUUUUGGGUGAGUUCAUGAGCCCUCUGCAGAACUUUCUAACAAAGGCAAAACUUCAUUAUUUACUUCUCUUGCACUCCUCUUUGGUGAGUGAUAACAAGCCCUCAAUAUACAUUUCACAUGCAAACUCUGAGACAUUUAUUAGAUUCUUUUACAACUUCUGCAUUUUACUAAGAUCGAUUUAUGGAUGCUGUUUUGACUUUCUUAUCUC